AUUGAACGCUGGCGGCAGGCCUAACACAUGCAAGUAGAGCGAGCGGCGGACGGGUGAGUAAUGUCUGGGAAACUGCCUGAUGGAGGGGGAUAACUACUGGAAACGGUAGCUAAUACCGCAUACCAUCAGAUGUGCCAAGAUGGGAUCAGCCAGUAGGUGGGGUAACGGCUCACCUAUGCGACGAGCCCUAGCUGGUCUGAGGGGAUGACCAGCCACACUUGAACUGAGACACGGUCCAAGCUCCUACGGGAGUCAGCGGUGGGGAAUAGUGCACAAUGGGCACAAGCCUGAUGCAGCCAUGCCGCGUGUUUGAGGGAGGCCUGCGGGUUUUAAAGCACUUUCAGCGGGGAGGCGUUACCCGCAGAAGAAGCACCGGCUAACUCCGUGCCAGCAGCCGCGGUAAUUC
rnacentral:rRNA from 1 species